rnacentral:rRNA from 1 species
CUUUCGGGAGCUGACGAGUGGCGGACGGGUGAGUAACGCGUAGGAAUCUGCCUUAUAGUGGGGGACAACGUGGGGAAACCCACGCUAAUACCGCAUACCCCCUACGGGGGAAAGGAGGGGAUCUUCGGACCUUUCGCUAUGAGAUGAGCCUGCGUUAGAUUAGCUAGUUGGUAGGGUAAAGGCCUACCAAGGCGACGAUCUAUAGCUGGUCUGAGAGGACGAUCAGCCACACUGGGACUGAGACACGGCCCAGACUCCUACGGGAGGCAGCAGUGGGGAAUAUUGGACAAUGGGCGAAAGCCUGAUCCAGCAAUACCGCGUGUGUGAAGAAGGCCUUAGGGUUGUAAAGCACUUUCAAUUGGGAGGAAAACCUGUCGGUCAAUACCCGGCAGCUUGACAUUACCUUUAGAAGAAGCACCGGCUAACUCCGUGCCAGCAGCCACGGUAAUACGGAGGGUGCGAGCGUUAAUCGGAAUUACUGGGCGUAAAGCGUGCGUAGGCGGUUCGUUAAGUCAGAUGUGAAAGCCCUGGGCUCAACCUGGGAACUGCAUUUGAAACUGGCGGACUAGAGUUUAGUAGAGGGGAGUGGAAUUUCAGGUGUAGCGGUGAAAUGCGUAGAUAUCUGAAGGAACACCAGUGGCGAAGGCGACUCCCUGGACUAGAACUGACGCUGAGGUACGAAAGCGUGGGUAGCAAACAGGAUUAGAUACCCUGGUAGUCCACGCCGUAAACGAUGUCGACUAGCCGUUGGUCCUAUUUACAGGAUUAGUGGCGCAGCUAACGCAUUAAGUCGACCGCCUGGGGAGUACGGCCGCAAGGUUAAAACUCAAAUGAAUUGACGGGGGCCCGCACAAGCGGUGGAGCAUGUGGUUUAAUUCGAUGCAACGCGAAGAACCUUACCUACCCUUGACAUCCAUAGAAUC